GGCAACGUGGUGCUGAUAGUUUUCUCAGGUGAUUGUAAGAUAAAAAGGCCAGUAUAAUCAAACACCUCACUGAACAGAAUAAAAUGAUUAAUAUUUUUUCUUUUUCUUUAGAUUCUCUGAAUGGUCCUUUUUCCUCUGCUUCUGAUAAGUCCGAAUCAAGCUUCAGCUCAAGCGCAUCAAUUGCGAAUGUCGAUGAGGUUCCGAGCAAGAGACAAAGAAUCGAGGAUACACUUGAUGCAGUGUCUACUAACGCUUUCUCUAGAAAAGCUGUUUAUCAUUAUGUUUUGCGUUAUCAUGUUUUCUUUAUUAGUUGAUUGAAGCUGUGCUGACUACAAUACAAUAGAAAUGAUUGAAAAUCAUAAGUGUAUUUUUUAUAUUGUUUCAUUUGUGCCAAAUAACUGCAUGCCCAUUGUGCACAUUUUGAUUAGGAAUUUAAUAUCUCCUCUCGGGCACAUCCCCACUAAAGCUAUAAGAGAAGAGUAUGCUCUUGGGAUAGUGACGCCGUUCCCUUCCCUCAAGGAUCCAUAUACCAAGAAAGGCUAUGUAAUAUUCCUUAUUAUUGUUUGUAUAUUGUUUGUAUGAAAGUUGCAUAUCAAACGUGCAUAUUAUGACACAACGGCGUUUGUAUGACAUUGAAAUUUGAGUUCUUUAAAGUAUGACCAAAAUAAUUUUUUGUUUUUUUUUCAGGAACAAUUCCAUGAUGCUACAAGCAGCACAGGAUACAUUUCUUGGCGUCUGAAAGCAAUCCAACGAAAGAUUUGUCGAGGAUCUGCACCAUCACCAAAUAGCCCUAUGGUCACUUCUCCCAAAGGUCCAACGAGCUGUUAAUGUAGAAAGACAGCUGGAUGGGGAUGCUUGCCAAGAGGACAUGUCUUUGCUCAACCAUACCACAGACAAUUCCCUGAUUUUUCAGAAAAUGAGAGAAACCUUUCAGCAUCGUCAGAAGCUUGUUAAUGACCCAAGCAGAGGUGUUGAUAUCCUCUCCACCUUCCCAAGAUCCCUGGAUACCAAAGGAUUGGUGGAUCAAGACUUCACCCUCCUAUUUGAUCAUGAAACAUCCUCCAGGCUCCUUCAGAAAUGGGAUGUGUUCUUCAGUCCAAAUGUCAUAAAAGAGGCUAAGUGGCUUACUUCAACACGCAGAGUUGUGUCGCUUGUUGCAGUCAGCAGAGAGUCCCACAGGAAGUGAUCUUGAUGAGACGACAAGUGAGUUGUAUUUGUUUAGCUUGUUUAAAGCACUUGCCAUAUCUCCAAAAAUACUUUUAGUCUUUCAUAAGGUAAUUAUAUUAU
rnacentral:lncRNA from 1 species